rnacentral:lncRNA from 1 species
UAGUUAUUGUUUAUUGAGAGUUGUGUGUGUGUGUUUUGACAGAGGAAGUCUGUGAUUAUAAGAAUUUUGUGAAUUCAGAUUGGUUGGAGCGAAGUCUGUUAUAUUUGGUGUUGGAUGGAAUUUAUUGAGUUUUGAGAGGUCUUUUGAGAGUGCAAGGUUGUACAUUGUGAUUAUGAGUUGAUGAAGGAGUAUUGUUACUGGAAGGAAGCAUUGUAGUAUUUCUUAGUGUUUUAGUGGUUCAGAAUACAAUUAAUUGUGUGAUCCUAACAAAUAAAAUUCAUGCACUUAGUCUUUUCUUGUGUUCAAAUUUUCUUAUACAGGUUUAUUUUGGAAGGAAUUGUAGAAUAAGUAAAACAACAAUCACAUUUUUGGCACCGCUGCCAAGGAUUGACAAUAGCAUUGAGUGUUAGAAAUUAACUGUUGGAUGAAUAGAUGGAAAAUAGGAAGCAAAUUUAGUAGUAUAUAAUGAAAGAUUAUGGUAAUUGUAGAAUAAGUAGUUAUUUUCAGAAUGUAGAUACCUAGUAUAUAGUAUAAACAAGGAUAGAUAACUGCUGAAAAGGUGGUUCUAUAUGUAGAAUAGAUGAAUAGUCAAGAAAAGUAGUUAUCAUCUGUAGUAUAGGAAUUGGUAUCUCA